rnacentral:rRNA from 1 species
AGAGUUUGAUCCUGGCUCAGAACGAACGCUGGCGGCGUGGAUAAGACAUGCAAGUCGAGCGAGAUUUUUUUCUGUAGCAAUACAGGGAAAAGUCUAGCGGCGAACGGGUGCGUAACACGUGGGCAACCUGCCAAGAAGUGGGGGAUAGCUCGCCGAAAGGCGAAUUAAUACCGCAUGUGAUCAGAGUGGACAUCCAUUCAAAAUCAAAGUCGGGGCAACCUGACGCUUCUUGAGGGGCCCGCGGCCUAUCAGCUAGUUGGUGAGGUAACGGCCCACCAAGGCUUAGACGGGUAGCUGGUCUGAGAGGACGACCAGCCACACUGGGACUGAGACACGGCCCAGACACCUACGGGUGGCAGCAGUCGAGAAUUUUUCUCAAUGGGGGAAACCCUGAAGGAGCGACGCCGCGUGGAGGAUGAAGGUCUUCGGGUUGUAAACUCCUGUCAUUUGGGAACAAUGCGCAAAUAUUAACUGUAUUUGCGUUGAUAGUACCAGAAGAGGAAGGGACGGCUAACUCUGUGCCAGCAGCCGCGGUAAUACAGAGGUCCCAAGCGUUGUUCGGAUUCAUUGGGCGUAAAGGGUGCGUAGGCGGCGCGGUAAGUCGGGUGUGAAAUCUCGGGGCUUAACUCCGAAACUGCAUUCGAUACUGCCGUGCUUGAGGACUGGAGAGGAGACUGGAAUUUACGGUGUAGCGGUGAAAUGCGUAGAUAUCGUAAGGAAGACCAGUGGCGAAGGCGGGUCUCUGGACAGUUCCUGACGCUGAGGCACGAAGGCCAGGGGAGCAAACGGGAUUAGAUACCCUAGUAGUCC